UACGUAGGGUGCAAGCGUUGUCCGGAAUUAUUGGGCGUAAAGAGCGUGUAGGCGGCUUGAUUAGUCUGCUGUGAAAGUCCAGGGCUCAACCCUGGAAUGCCGGUGGAUACUGUCAAGCUAGAGUCCGGAAGGGGCGAGUGGAAUUCCUGGUGUAGCGGUGAAAUGCGCAGAUAUCAGGAGGAACACCAGCGGCGAAGGCGGCACUCUGGGCCGAUACUGACGCUGAGGAGCGAAAGCGUGGGGAGCGAACAGG
rnacentral:rRNA from 1 species